AAUUGGGUGUAUGACAUUAUAUAGACUGACAUUUUUACAAAGAAGUGCUGUUUGUGAAAGGGAUGUUGUAAAUUAUGCAAUGUACAAGUUUUGACCAAUAAGAGUGGAGGAUUCUAGAAUCUGCUGAGUAUAAAAACUGAAAUGGAGGCUGUAGUAUUGUGAUACUCUAUGUGACAUUCCUUGGUGGUUGUACAAUAUGUCAGAGAGAGACAGAUUUUGUCAGGUGACUGUGAACAAACAACUACACAAAUUUCUUAUUACUCUUCUUGUUACUUUUUAGAGAACUACUCAUUUUUUUUUCUGUUAGACAGUAUAUAUAUUUUUUAAUUUGUUAAUGCUAUGUAAUAUAAUGUUAUUAAAGAUGCGAUAAAAAACUU
rnacentral:misc_RNA from 1 species